CCGAGCACGCCGCGUGAGUGAAGAAGGUUUUCGGAUCGUAAAACUCUGUUGGUAGAGAAGAACGUUGGUGAGAGUGGAAAGCUCAUCAAGUGACGGUAACUACCCAGAAAGGGACGGCUAACUACGUGCCAGCAGCCGCGGUAAUACGUAGGUCCCGAGCGUUGUCCGGAUUUAUUGGGCGUAAAGCGAGCGCAGGUGGUUUAUUAAGUCUGGUGUAAAAGGCAGUGGCUCAACCAUUGUAUGCAUUGGAAACUGGUAGACUUGAGUGCAGGAGAGGAGAGUGGAAUUCCAUGUGUAGCGGUGAAAUGCGUAGAUAUAUGGAGGAACACCGGUGGCGAAAGCGGCUCUCUGGCCUGUAACUGACACUGAGGCUCGAAAGCGUGGGGAGCAAACAGGAUUAGAUACCC
rnacentral:rRNA from 1 species